AUCGACUAUGUCGACUAAAGUUCUAGGUAGAAUUAUGAUGAUGACAUUAUCUACCUAUGUGUCUUGACCAAAUCACGUGCCAGCAGUCGCGGCAAGACGUGGAAGACUAGUGUUAUUCAUCUUUAAAAGGUUUAAAGGGUACUUAGACGGUAAAUUAAGCCGACAAGGUACUAAUUUACUAGAGUUUUCUCUGAGAGAGCUCUGGAGAACUGACGAGUGUAGAGAUGAAAUUUUUUGAUACCGUUAUAGGAACAGGUAACGGCGAAAGCGACUCUUUAUGUAAAAACUGACGUUGAAGAACGAAGGCUUAGUAACCCAAACAGGAUUAGAUACCCUAGUAGGCUAAGCAGAAAAUUAUGAAUGUCAUAGACAAGUUUCUUUGUUUAUAAAUGAAAGUGUAAACAUUCCACCUUGAGAGUAAUGUGGCAACACAGAAACCGAAAUCAUUAGACCGUUUCUGAAACCAGUAGUGAAGUAUGUUGUUUAAUUUGAUACCCCGCAAAAAACCUUACCACAAUUUGAAUAUUUUAUUUUUAUAAAAAAACGAGCGUUGCACGGCUGUCUGCAGUUAAUGUCGUGAGAUUUUGGUUAACUCCAUUAAAUUAACGUAAACCCUUACUUUAUUUUUAUUAUAAAGUAGUUCACCGCUAUAUUGGAUUUGAUACCAGGGGA
rnacentral:rRNA from 1 species